rnacentral:rRNA from 1 species
GGAUAAUCGGGAGAAAUCCCGUCUAAUACCGCGUAACGCCGCGGGGCUGCAUGGCCCUGCGGCCAAAGGGAGCGAUCCGGCAACGGAUGGGCAUGCGUGACAUUAGCUAGUUGGCGGGGCAACGGCCCACCAAGGCGACGAUGUCUAGGGGUUCUGAGAGGAAGGUCCCCCACACUGGUACUGAGACACGGACCAGACUCCUACGGGAGGCAGCAGUGAGGAAUAUUGGUCAAUGGGCGCGAGCCUGAACCAGCCAAGUCGCGUGAGGGAUGACGGCCCUACGGGUUGUAAACCUCUUUUGUCGGGGAGCAAAUUCCGCCACGUGUGGCGGAGUCGAGAGUACCCGAAGAAAAAGCAUCGGCUAACUCCGUGCCAGCAGCCGCGGUAAUACGGAGGAUGCGAGCGUUAUCCGGAUUUAUUGGGUUUAAAGGGUGCGUAGGCGGACUGUCAAGUCAGCGGUAAAAUACGGGGGCUCAACCUCCGCCCGCCGUUGAAACUGACGGUCUUGAGUGGGCGAGAAGUAUGCGGAAUGCGUGGUGUAGCGGUGAAAUGCAUAGAUAUCACGCAGAACUCCGAUUGCGAAGGCAGCAUACCGGCGCCCAACUGACGCUGAAGCACGAAAGCGUGGGUAUCGAACAGGAUUAGAUACCCUGGUAGUCCACGCAGUAAACG